rnacentral:rRNA from 1 species
GAUGAACGCUGGCGGCGUGCCUAAUACAUGCGAGUCGAGCGAACGGACGAGAAGCUUGCUUCUCUGAUGUUAGCGGCGGACGGGUGAGUAACACGUGGAUAACCUACCUAUAAGACUGGGAUAACUUCGGGAAACCUGAGCUAAUACCGGAUGAUAUUUUGAACCGCAUGGUUCAAAAGUGAAAGACGGUCUUGCUGUCACUUAUAGAUGGAUCCGCGCUGCAUUAGCUAGUUGGUAAGGUAACGGCUUACCAAGGCAACGAUGCAUAGCCGACCUGAGAGGGUGAUAGGCCACACUGGAACUGAGACACGGUCCAGACUCCUACGGGAGGCAGCAGUAGGGAAUCUUCCGCAAUGGGCGAAAGCCUGACGGAGCAACGCCGCGUGAGUGAUGAAGGUCUUCGGAUCGUAAAACUCUGUUAUUAGGGAAGAACAUAUGUGUAAGUAACUGUGCACAUCUUGACGGUACCUAAUCAGAAAGCCACGGCUAACUACGUG